rnacentral:rRNA from 1 species
AUUGAACGCUGGCGGCAGACUUAACACAUGCAAGUCGAGCGGAGUGAUGGUGCUUGCACUAUUACUUAGCGGCGGACGGGUGAGUAAUGCUUAGGAAUCUGCCAUUUAGUGGGGGACAACAUUCCGAAAGGAAUGCUAAUACCGCAUACGUCCUACGGGAGAAAGCAGGGGAUCUUCGGACCUUGCGCUGAAUGAUGAGCCUAAGUCGGAUUAGCUAGUUGGUGGGGUAAAGGCCUACCAAGGCGACGAUCUGUAGCGGGUCUGAGAGGAUGAUCCGCCACACUGGGACUGAGACACGGCCCAGACUCCUACGGGAGGCAGCAGUGGGGAAUAUUGGACAAUGGGCGGAAGCCUGAUCCAGCCAUGCCGCGUGUGUGAAGAAGGCCUUUUGGUUGUAAAGCACUUUAAGCGAGGAGGAGGCUCUCCUAGUUAAUACCUAGGAAGAGUGGACGUUACUCGCAGAAUAAGCACCGGCUAACUCUGUGCCAGCAGCCGCCGUAAAAC